AGUGAACGCUGGCGGUAGGCCUAACACAUGCAAGUCGAACGGCAGCACAGUAAGAGCCUGCUCUUACGGGUGGCGAGUGGCGGACGGGUGAGGAAUACAUCGGAAUCUACUUUUUCGUGGGGGAUAACGUAGGGAAACUUACGCUAAUACCGCAUACGACCUACGGGUGAAAGCAGGGGAUCUUCGGACCUUGCGCGAUUGAAUGAGCUGAUGUCGGAUUAGCUAGUUGGCGGGGUAAAGGCCCACCAAGGCGACGAUCCGUAGCUGGUCUGAGAGGAUGAUCAGCCACACUGGAACUGAGACACGGUCCAGACUCCUACGGGAGGCAGCAGUGGGGAAUAUUGGACAAUGGGCGCAAGCCUGAUCCAGCCAUACCGCGUGGGUGAAGAAGGCCUUCGGGUUGUAAAGCCCUUUUGUUGGGAAAGAAAAGCAGCAGGUUAAUACCCCGCUGUUCUGACGGUACCCAAAGAAUAAGCACCGGCUAACUUCGUG
rnacentral:rRNA from 1 species